rnacentral:rRNA from 1 species
GGAGCAUGUGGUUUAAUUCGAAGCAACGCGCAGAACCUUACCAGCCUUUGACAUCCUAGGACGACUUCUGGAGACAGAUUUCUUCCCUUCGGGGACCUAGUGACAGGUGCUGCAUGGCUGUCGUCAGCUCGUGUCGUGAGAUGUUGGGUUAAGUCCCGCAACGAGCGCAACCCUCGUCCUUAGUUGCCACCAUUAAGUUGGGCACUUUAAGGAAACUGCCGGUGAUAAGCCGGAGGAAGGUGGGGAUGACGUCAAGUCCUCAUGGCCCUUACAGGCUGGGCUACACACGUGCUACAAUGGCAUCUACAGUGGGCAGCUAUUCCGCAAGGAUGCGCUAAUCUCCAAAAGAUGUCUCAGUUCGGAUUGUCCUCUGCAACUCGAGGGCAUGAAGGCGGAAUCGCUAGUAAUCGCGGAUCAGCAUGCCGCGGUGAAUACGUUCCCAGGCCUU